AAACACAGAUUAUUAGCCUGAAAUGGCGUAGGCUGGUGAUUGUAUAAUCACCAGCCU
rnacentral:sRNA from 1 species